rnacentral:tRNA from 1 species
GGGCUUGUUGAUCUCGUGGUAUGAUUCUCGCUUUCGGUGCGAGAGGUCGCGGGUUCAAAUCCCAGUCGAGCCCA